CCGGUGUCUGGGGUUUGCUAAACUACUCCACGCUGGUGGGAAUUUAAGGGAAACGAACUGAUUUAUUUCACCAAAAGGCAGAUCUUUGUUUCAGUCUGAAGGCUGAGCUGAGGGGCAUGGCAAGCUGCUGGCGUGGGUUCUACAGCUAUUAGAACUGCACAGUGGCACUCAAACAGGCUCCCUUCCCCAGAAGGUAUGUUCCUUUAGGAACAGUUAUUUGAGAGGAGUUUUAUGUAUGUUUUAUACAUCUCUACAUGCCUUGGGCCUUCUUGAGGGCAAAUGCCUCACUGAGUUCUGGCUCUGGCUCCUAAUCCCAGUAUGUUUGGUCAAGACCUGAAUUUGUAAUGGCCUUGCUAAUGAAACACGAUUUGUCUUAGCUCUACUCCUCGUUGUGCAAAGGCAUGACAGGAGCGCAGUGUUCUUGCUCCUUAUAUGUGGACAGGAUUAAUGUGGCUUCUUGAUAAGCCUGUCACUGUAAUGGAUAAACAGUCUUUGCCAAGAGGGCUUCAGCGCUUCAGAGUAGAAGCAUUUUACUUUUCCUCUUAAUUUUCAUCAUCUCUAAUAUGAGAAACGCUUCAUAAAUACUUUCAUGGCAAAAGUAAAUACGGCUUAUUUGCUGAUUAGUUCUAGAGAACAGCUAUGAAGAAAGCAGUUCUGAAACUCAGCGCCCCUGUGUUUGUGAUCAAAGUGCAAACCAAUUCCGCUUGUUAGAUAUGUGGAAUUGAGUAUAAGGCCGUGUGAUCAAAACCCAACAACAUCUCCUACCAAACCACUUUAACUGGAGGACCAAAAUCUGCAUUAUUUUUCCUCCGUAUGCCGUGUUUUCACUUGCUGUCGUAUCAGACACAGCUAAAGGACUGAACUGUUGCACAUGUGUGAGAAUGAUGACUAUAAUUAAUUUAAGGCACGUGUAAUUGCAUGAGGUAAUGACCUCACAGCUUCAGUCUCGUCACAUGAACAGCUUAAUUAUUGGCUGUAGAAUGACAGACGGUGUCCUGCAGACGAUCAGACACGGACUGUGCUGAAGACCAGCCUGACUCUUAACCAAAGAUGACUCCCUUCUUUUUGAUGUGCUGGUGCCAGGCCUUAAGGGUAAGAACCAAGUUUAAUUCUGCUGUUCUCAGGACCGUAUGAAGGAGGUGAAGAGUGUGAUCCCACGUUAACAGCCAGCUAGUAUCCCUGAGAGCGCCUUCGUUUCCAGAAGGAGCUACUCAAUGGAUUUCUCUGUCCUCUGCCCUGCGUGGAGCUUGGUGGCUGCAGGGAGGAUCGUAGCUGCAGUUCCGUCUGCUGCGAAAUUCCCAAGAUUCCCAUCACCACCCUCAUUUAAACAUCCCCCAGCCCUGCUAUAAACAAGUGAGAGACGCUCACCCUGCUGGCUGGCUGGGAGCCAAGGGUACAGGGCGCUCCAGCUGGAGACACGAAGGGAGCACAGAAAAUAGUGUCAAGUCAUGAAUCAUCUCGGUGAGGACUGACGGCCACCAUCGACAGAACCAGACAGACCUGGGGCUCACUGCUGAGUUAAGUGGUUUAUUUCUCAUCAAAGUGACAAUGCACAGGCAAGCUGGAAAGGCAGCACGGCACUGCUGGCAAGCAGCUGCCUUUGCUCCAUGCCUCUUCACCAUGUUCUUUUGCUGCAAGAUACCUGUAGGACUGUGGAUGUAGCGUAUGGGCCUCUUAGCUGCUCCUGGCUGGUUUCCUAAGGUGACAAAGCCUACGUCAUCAUGCUGUUUACCAUGGGGCCCCUCUGGCUACUUCUGAAGGCGCUGGAGGGUUUCAAUCAAAUUUGAGAGAAGAUUAGAAAUCUCCAGGAUUGCUGUGUUUCUACAAGUUUCGUGGUGCUCUGCAGGCCGAAGGAGAACGAGGCCCAAAUCAGCACCUUGUCACAGCAGAGGCACUGCUGGUAUGGAGCCGGCAGGGAAAGCCUGGACUAAUGCAAUGCCAGAGGGCAAAGAUACAAAUGUGGAAUCGGCUCAUCAGCUGUUUUUUUCUGUUCCGAGAUCCUUACCCAUACCAGGUUGUGUCUCUUAAUUCUUCAAAGAAUUCUGCAUGGUCUGGUCACGAGCAGAGGCUUGGAUAUACCUUCACGUUCCAAGCGUGAGACUUGCUCGGUUGGCUGCAUCCUAAGCUCCUCUUUAGCAGGACCUAGAGCUUGAAAACAGUGCCUCCAUCCCGAUGGGCUUCAGGGGAUUUAGGUGCGGCCCACCAAUGCCUGCAAGGUUUCCAGGGUGGCACAGCUUCUUUUCUGGGGACAUUCUCACUGCCUGGCCCGUGUAUGCUGCACCCCUCAUGUGUGCGAGAUAACAGAGGCUAAGGGGAUGCUGUCUGACAGGUGAAGCUGCAGUGAAGUUUUUCUUGGGUACUCCCACGGUUUAUGGGACCACAGCCUUAUAUUUUCUUGGCACAAACAGCCUCAUCCCGAAACAGGAACCGUGUUUUUUUGCCUUAUGGUAUGUCUUGCCACAUUACUUUGGAUGGGUUUUAGCUUUGUUUUGCAAGAUGAUCUCCCGCUGCACAACUGAUGCCAGCAGAUCCUCAUGAUAAACUGCAUGCCCCAGGCAGUCCUACUUCAUCUCUGCCACGCUGCAGCGCUUCCCUUCUUCUGGGUCAUCCUCACGCUCCGUGGCUCUGAGGUCACCUCCAGCAGCCUUCUUCCACUUGGUUUGAAUUGGGGGUGCACGGCCUCUUGUUUGUGACCAGGGGUGCAGCCAGCUCCCUCUGGUUGCGGUGCUCCUGCUUCUGCAGGGUUAUAUGAGGAAAUCUGAAACUUUCUUGCCAGAGGCUGGGGAGCAGAUU
ensembl:lncRNA